GGUUUAAUACUAGUGGUGGAGCAUGUGGUUUAAUGCGAUAAUCCGCGCAAAAUCUUACCAAUUCUUGACAUAUCUGAAUAAUUGUAAAUAUUAAUAUGGUUUUUAUUUACAAUAUUUUGAAACAGGUGUUGCACGACUGUCGUCAGCUCGUGUUGUGAGACGUCUGAUUAAGUUCUGAAACGGGCGUAACUCUUGCUUUUUAUUAAGUUUUUUACAAAUUAAAGGUUUUUACGGAAGUAAAAAUUUUUAAUGCUUUAAAAGUACGGUCAAUGAUAAAUUGAAGGAAGGCAAGAACGAAGUCAAGUCAAUGUGACCCUAAUGAAUUGGGCUACACACGUGCUACAAUGGCGCAUACAGAGGGCGGCCAACUUGCGAGAGUGAGCGAAUCCCAAAAAGUGCGUCGUAGUCCGGAUCGGAGUCUGCAACUCGACUCCGUGAAGUCGGAAUCGCUAGUAAUCG
rnacentral:rRNA from 1 species